rnacentral:rRNA from 1 species
GACGAACGCUGGCGGCGUGCUUAACACAUGCCAGUCGAACGGAAAGGCCCUGCUUUUGUGGGGUGCUCGAGUGGCGAACGGGUGAGUAACACGUGAGUAACCUGCCCUUGACUUUGGGAUAACUUCAGGAAACUGGGGCUAAUACCGGAUAGGAGCUCCUGCUGCAUAGUGGGGGUUGGAAAGUUUCGGCGGUUGGGGAUGGACUCGCGGCUUAUCAGCUUGUUGGUGGGGUAGUGGCUUACCAAGGCUUUGACGGGUAGCCGGCCUGAGAGGGUGACCGGCCACAUUGGGACUGAGAUACGGCCCAGACUCCUACGGGAGGCAGCAGUGGGGAAUAUUGCACAAUGGGCGGAAGCCUGAUGCAGCAACGCCGCGUGCGGGAUGACGGCCUUCGGGUUGUAAACCGCUUUCGCCUGUGACGAAGCGUGAGUGACGGUAAUGGGUAAAGAAGCACCGGCUAACUACGUG